rnacentral:rRNA from 1 species
GAUUGACCUCGGAUCAGGUAGGGAUACCCGCUGAACUUAAGCAUAUCAAUAAGCGGAGGAAAAGAAACCAACAGGGAUUGCCUCAGUAACGGCGAGUGAAGCGGCAACAGCUCAAAUUUGAAAUCUGACCCGUUCCGGGCCCGAGUUGUAAUUUGUAGAGGGUGUUUCGGGAGCGACGCCGGUCUAAGUCCCUUGGAACAGGGCGUCAUAGAGGGUGAGAAUCCCGUAUGUGACCGGCGAUCAACCCCAUGUGAAACCCCUUCGACGAGUCGAGUUGUUUGGGAAUGCAGCUCAAAAUGGGUGGUAAAUUUCAUCUAAAGCUAAAUACCGGCUGGAGACCGAUAGCGCACAAGUAGAGUGAUCGAAAGAUGAAAAGCACUUUGGAAAGAGAGUUAAAAAGUACGUGAAAUUGUUGAAAGGGAAGCGCUUGCAACCAGACCUGUCCGCGGGCGAUCAGCGGUGGUUCUCCGCCGUGCACUCGUCCGCGAUCAGGCCAGCAUCGGUUCGGGCGGUCGGAUAAAGGCCACGGGAACGUAGCUCCCUUCGGGGAGUCUUAUAGCCCGAGGUGCAAUGCGGCCAGCCCGGACCGAGGACCGCGCUUCGGCUAGGAUGCUGGCGUAAUGGUUGUAAGCGACCCGUCUUGAAACACGGACCAAGGAGUGUAACAUUUAUGCGAGUGUUUGGGUGUCAAACCCAUGCGCGGAAUGAAAGUGAACGGAGGUGGGAACCCUUUAGGGCGCACCAUCGACCGAUCCAGAUGUCUUCGGAUGGAUUUGAGUAGGAGCAUAACUGUUGCGACCCGAAAGAUGGUGAACUAUGCCUGAAUAGGGUGAAGCCAGAGGAAACUCUGGUGGAGGCUCGCAGCGGUUCUGACGUGCAAAUCGAUCGUCAAAUUUGGGUAUAGGGGCGAAAGACUAAUCGAACCAUCCCUACUAGGUGGCUAAUCAGCGCGGACGACAUCAUAUCCGCCCUCAGUCCUUCGGGGCAACAUCACUACUUGCAUGAAUCUCCCUCGGGGGCGAUAUGCCGCAGUUACCUUAACGUCUUAGGUUCCUGUCCACAGACCAAAUAGUGGUGGCCACGGUACCCCAGGUACAUGGUUUAGAAAUGGCCGAGUCCGACUCGAUAAUCGAGUCCGGCUUCGAAACCCCGGCGUUUUGAAGCCCGGGGUAAAUCGCUAGUAGCUGGUUCCUGCCGAAGUUUCCCUCAGGA